GGUUAAGUUAGAAAGGGCGCACGGUGGAUGCCUUGGCACUAGGAGCCGAUGAAGGACGGGACGAACACCGAUAUGCUUCGGGGAGCUGUAAGCAAGCUUUGAUCCGGAGAUUUCCGAAUGGGGAAACCCACCACUCGUAAUGGAGUGGUAUCCAUAUCUGAAUUCAUAGGAUAUGAGAAGGCAGACCCGGGGAACUGAAACAUCUAAGUACCCGGAGGAAGAGAAAGCAAAUGCGAUUCCCUGAGUAGCGGCGAGCGAAACGGGAUUAGCCCAAACCAAGAGGCUUGCCUCUUGGGGUUGUAGGACACUCUGUACGGAGUUACAAAAGAACGAGGUAGAUGAAGAGGUCUGGAAAGGCCCGCCAUAGGAGGUAACAGCCCUGUAGUCAAAACUUCGUUCUCUCCUGAGUGGAUCCUGAGUACGGCGGAACACGUGAAAUUCCGUCGGAAUCCGGGAGGACCAUCUCCCAAGGCUAAAUACUCCCUAGUGACCGAUAGUGAACCAGUACCGUGAGGGAAAGGUGAAAAGCACCCCGGAAGGGGAGUGAAAGAGAUCCUGAAACCGUGUGCCUACAAGUAGUCAGAGCCCGUUAACGGGUGAUGGCGUGCCUUUUGUAGAAUGAACCGGCGAGUUACGAUCCCGUGCAAGGUUAAGCAGAAGAUGCGGAGCCGCAGCGAAAGCGAGUCUGAAUAGGGCGCAUGAGUACGUGGUCGUAGACCCGAAACCAGGUGAUCUACCCAUGUCCAGGGUGAAGUUCAGGUAACACUGAAUGGAGGCCCGAACCCACGCACGUUGAAAAGUGCGGGGAUGAGGUGUGGGUAGGGGUGAAAUGCCAAUCGAACCUGGAGAUAGCUGGUUCUCUCCGAAAUAGCUUUAGGGCUAGCCUCAAGGUAAGAGUCUUGGAGGUAGAGCACUGAUUGGACUAGGGGCCCCUACCGGGUUACCGAAUUCAGUCAAACUCCGAAUGCCAAUGACUUAUCCUUGGGAGUCAGACUGCGAGUGAUAAGAUCCGUAGUCGAAAGGGAAACAGCCCAGACCGCCAGCUAAGGUCCCAAAGUAUACGUUAAGUGGAAAAGGAUGUGGAGUUGCUUAGACAACCAGGAUGUUGGCUUAGAAGCAGCCACCAUUUAAAGAGUGCGUAAUAGCUCACUGGUCGAGUGACUCUGCGCCGAAAAUGUACCGGGGCUAAACGUAUCACCGAAGCUGCGGACUGUUCUUCGAACAGUGGUAGGAGAGCGUUCUAAGGGCUGUGAAGCCAGACCGGAAGGACUGGUGGAGCGCUUAGAAGUGAGAAUGCCGGUAUGAGUAGCGAAAGAGGGGUGAGAAUCCCCUCCACCGAAUGCCUAAGGUUUCCUGAGGAAGGCUCGUCCGCUCAGGGUUAGUCGGGACCUAAGCCGAGGCCGAAAGGCGUAGGCGAUGGACAACAGGUUGAUAUUCCUGUACCACCUCCUCACCAUUUGAGNNNNNNNNNNNNNNNNNNNNNNNAAGGCUGAGCUGUGAUGGCGAGCGAAAUAUAGUAGCGAAGUUCCUGAUUCCACACUGCCAAGAAAAGCCUCUAGCGAGGUGAGAGGUGCCCGUACCGCAAACCGACACAGGUAGGCGAGGAGAGAAUCCUAAGGUGAUCGAGAGAACUCUCGUUAAGGAACUCGGCAAAAUGACCCCGUAACUUCGGGAGAAGGGGUGCUCUGUUAGGGUGCAAGCCCGAGAGAGCCGCAGUGAAUAGGCCCAGGCGACUGUUUAGCAAAAACACAGGUCUCUGCGAAGCCGUAAGGCGAAGUAUAGGGGCUGACGCCUGCCCGGUGCUGGAAGGUUAAGAGGAGCGCUUAGCGUAAGCGAAGGUGCGAAUUGAAGCCCCAGUAAACGGCGGCCGUAACUAUAACGGUCCUAAGGUAGCGAAAUUCCUUGUCGGGUAAGUUCCGACCCGCACGAAAGGCGCAACGAUCUGGGCACUGUCUCAACGAGAGACUCGGUGAAAUUAUAGUACCUGUGAAGAUGCAGGUUACCCGCGACAGGACGGAAAGACCCCGUGGAGCUUUACUGCAGCCUGAUAUUGAAUGUUGGUACAGCUUGUACAGGAUAGGUAGGAGCCUUGGAAACCGGAGCGCCAGCUUCGGUGGAGGCAUCGGUGGGAUACUACCCUGGCUGUAUUGACCUUCUAACCCGCCGCCCUUAUCGGGCGGGGAGACAGUGUCAGGUGGGCAGUUUGACUGGGGCGGUCGCCUCCUAAAAGGUAACGGAGGCGCCCAAAGGUUCCCUCAGAAUGGUUGGAAAUCAUUCGCAGAGUGUAAAGGCACAAGGGAGCUUGACUGCGAGACCUACAAGUCGAGCAGGGACGAAAGUCGGGCUUAGUGAUCCGGUGGUUCCGCAUGGAAGGGCCAUCGCUCAACGGAUAAAAGCUACCCCGGGGAUAACAGGCUUAUCUCCCCCAAGAGUCCACAUCGACGGGGAGGUUUGGCACCUCGAUGUCGGCUCAUCGCAUCCUGGGGCUGUAGUCGGUCCCAAGGGUUGGGCUGUUCGCCCAUUAAAGCGGUACGCGAGCUGGGUUCAGAACGUCGUGAGACAGUUCGGUCCCUAUCCGUCGCGGGCGCAGGAAAUUUGAGAGGAGCUGUCCUUAGUACGAGAGGACCGGGAUGGACGCACCGCUGGUGUACCAGUUGUUCUGCCAAGGGCAUCGCUGGGUAGCUAUGUGCGGACGGGAUAAGUGCUGAAAGCAUCUAAGCAUGAAGCCCCCCUCAAGAUGAGAUUUCCCAUUCCGCAAGGAAGUAAGAUCCCUGAAAGAUGAUCAGGUUGAUAGGUCUGAGGUGGAAGUGUGGCGACACAUGGAGCUGACAGAUACUAAUCGAUCGAGGACUUAACCAC
rnacentral:rRNA from 1 species